rnacentral:lncRNA from 1 species
CCCGCCUCAGCCUCCGGAGCAGCUGGGAUUACAGGCGCCCGCCAUCACGCCCAGGUUCUCCUUCUCUCCUCUAUCCUGCCACUUUGUGAAGAAGGUGCUUGCUUCUCCUUCACCUUCCACCAUGAUUGUAAGAAAAAUAGAAUAUAAAAACUUCUCUACUCCUGACUCACCAACGCACCAGAACAACUUUUAGUCCUGCAAUCAUGAAGCAUUGAUUGAACAUCUUCUACAUAUUAUCACCACCCUAGACACUACAACAACAAAGAAGUCAAUACUAGUUUCAAUUUGUGGAAAGCUGGAAAUGCGAUGAUUCCCAUGCCCUGAGUUUCUGCUCCAGACACCAGGUGGGGGCAUGGCAAUUGUGACUGGAGAGAGUGGAGGGGUCAUCUUAUCCACCACAUCAGAAGCUGAGGUUAGGAUAUUGUGGCAAGAGAUGAAAAGUGAAGUGAUGUGAGGAAACUUCAUCCUGAAUUCAACUAAAGCCCUGGAAUACUUGUUCAAAUAACCAGCUGACAACUUGGGGUUAAGCUGUCUUGAAUUUAACCUGUUUAGCUCAGCCAAUACAAUUAUGAAAUAAAAAGUUAACAGUCUACUAUUUUGUAGUCCCUGGAUAAAGAGGCCUAAAUGGUAUCCUGUAAAGUUAUGCAGAGUACUAUCUGCAUAGAUCUAGUCAAUGACCUUGGCUAGUAGCAUCAUUUGGUUUCCAGCUUUAUGUGCAUCAAUUCUUCUUUAUAUGCAGUAGUUAAUUUAAUGCACCAUAUAUCUUAUCUCUAACUCCUUGGGAAACAUUUGAAUUUAGUUAUUUUCCAUUCUACUAUUGAGAAUCUGUCUUCACAAGUCACAUAGCACUGUUACAAACACAAAUCACUUGGCGUACACAAUCCAAAUUAAGUAUACAUUUUGCCUGUGUUGCUAUUUCAUGGUAAAUUUUAUUUUCCAUUUUCUUAUUUUCAUUUUCUGUCUUUUAUUACCUUCUGAUGACACUGAAAUGCCUAAAGAAGUAGAUAAAUAUCUUGUUCUAACUUUGCUGAUUAAAAAGAAAACAGUUAAGCCUUGUACAUUUCACAGUAAUGAAGAAAGACUCACAAACAUUUUAUCAGGUCUGAAAAUUUGUCACCAGAUGUAUGUGGAAACUGUCUUGGUGAACCUGCCUUCAUGCAAAUUUGAAACAUCUUAUUAAACUUAAAAAUAAACAUUGUCUCUUUUUCUUAUUUAUUAAUAAUGUAGUUUUGUUUUAUGAUUCAAAUUUUCUUUAGAAAGUGGCUUUAUAAUUGCACAGGAGACAAGAAUUAAUUCUACUGGGGCUUUAUAUCAAAAUGCUUCAUUUCUAAGUG